UACGUAGGGUGCAAGCGUUGUCCGGAAUUAUUGGGCGUAAAGAGCUCGUAGGCGGUCUGUCGCGUCGGCUGUGAAAACUCGGGGCUCAACUCCGAGCUUGCAGUCGAUACGGGCAGGCUAGAGUUCGGCAGGGGAGACUGGAAUUCCUGGUGUAGCGGUGAAAUGCGCAGAUAUCAGGAGGAACACCGGUGGCGAAGGCGGGUCUCUGGGCCGAUACUGACGCUGAGGCACGAAAGCGUGGGUAGCAAACAGG
rnacentral:rRNA from 1 species